rnacentral:rRNA from 1 species
UUUAAAUUGAGAGUUUGAUCCUGGCUCAGGAUGAACGCUGGCGGCGUGCUUAACACAUGCAAGUCGAGCGAUGAAGUUUCCUUCGGGAAACGGAUUAGCGGCGGACGGGUGAGUAACACGUGGGUAACCUGCCUCAUAGAGUGGAAUAGCCUUCCGAAAGGGAGAUUAAUACCGCAUAAUGUUGAAAGAUGGCAUCAUCAUUCAACCAAAGGAGCAAUCCGCUAUGAGAUGGACCCGCGGCGCAUUAGCUAGUUGGUGGGGUAACGGCCUACCAAGGCGACGAUGCGUAGCCGACCUGAGAGGGUGA